rnacentral:rRNA from 1 species
GAUCAUGGCUCAGAUUGAACGCUGGCGGCAUGCUUUACACAUGCAAGUCGGACGGCAGCACAGAGAAGCUUGCUUCUUGGGUGGCGAGUGGCGAACGGGUGAGUAAUAUAUCGGAACGUACCGAGUAAUGGGGGAUAACUAAUCGAAAGAUUAGCUAAUACCGCAUAUUCUCUGAGGAGGAAAGCAGGGACCUCGCGUCGUCGU